GACGAACGCUGGCGGCGCGCUUAACACAUGCAAGUCGAACGGAAAGGCCUGCUUUCCCUUGUGGAUUGCGGGUACUCGAGUGGCGAACGGGUGAGUAACACGUGAGUGAUCUGCCCCCAACUUGGGUAUAAGCCUGGGAAACUGGGUCUAAUUCCCGAUAGGACUGCAGGGUGGUGCCUGUGGUGGAAAACGAUUUUCUAGUGGUUGGGGAUGAGCUCGCGGCCUAUAGCUUGUUGGUGGGGUAAUGGCCUACCAAGGCGGCGACGGGUAGCCGGCCUGAGAGGGUGGACGGCCACAUUGGGACUGAGAUACGGCCCAGACUCCUACGGGAGGCAGCAGUGGGGAAUAUUGCACAAUGUGCGGAAGCCUGAUGCAGCGACGCCGCGUGGGGGAUGACGGCCUUCGGGUUGUAAACUCCUUUCGACCGCGAGGAAGCCACCUGGUUGGAAGGGUGGUGACGGUAGUGGUAGAAGAAGCACCGGCUAACUACGUG
rnacentral:rRNA from 1 species